UACGAAGGGGGCUAGCGUUGCUCGGAAUCACUGGGCGUAAAGGGUGCGUAGGCGGGUCUUUAAGUCAGGGGUGAAAUCCUGGAGCUCAACUCCAGAACUGCCUUUGAUACUGAGGAUCUUGAGUUCGGGAGAGGUGAGUGGAACUGCGAGUGUAGAGGUGAAAUUCGUAGAUAUUGGGAAGAACACCAGUGGCGAAGGCGGCUAACUGGUCCAGUACUGACGCUGAGGUGCGAAAGCGUGGGGAGCAAACAGG
rnacentral:rRNA from 1 species